UCAUGCCAAUGGCACUGCCCGGUAGCUAAAUGCGGAAGAGAUAAGUGCUGAAAGCAUCUAAGCACGAAACUUGCCCCGAGAUGAGUUCUCCCUGACUCCUUGAGAGUCCUGAAGGAACGUUGAAGACGACGACGUUGAUAGGCCGGGUGUGUAAGCGCAGCGAUGCGUUGAGCUAACCGGUACUAAUGAACCGUGAGGCUUAACCUUACAACGCCGAAG
rnacentral:rRNA from 1 species